UACGAAGGGUGCAAGCGUUACUCGGAAUUACUGGGCGUAAAGCGUGCGUAGGUGGUUCGUUAAGUCUGAUGUGAAAGCCCUGGGCUCAACCUGGGAAUGGCAUUGGAUACUGGCGACCUAGAGUGCGGUAGAGGGGUGUGGAAUUCCCGGUGUAGCAGUGAAAUGCGUAGAUAUCGGGAGGAACAUCUGUGGCGAAGGCGACACCCUGGACCAGCACUGACACUGAGGCACGAAAGCCAGGGGAGCAAACAGG
rnacentral:rRNA from 1 species